CACCUCUAGCAUUUCAAGUAUUAGAGGCACUGCCUGCCCAGUGACAUUACAAGUUUAACGGCCGCGGUAUCCUGACCGUGCAAAGGUAGCAUAAUCACUUGUUCUUUAAAUAAGGACUAGUAUGAAAGGCUUGACGAGGGUUUAACUGUCUCUUACUUGCAAUCAGUGAAAUUGAUAUUCCCGUGAAGAAGCGGGGAUAAAAUAAUAAGACGAGAAGACCCUAUGGAGCUUUAAUUUAUUAAUUCAUCCUUACAAAACUAAAUCAACAAGAAACAAAAAACAAGCUAUGAAUUAAAAAUUUCGGUUGGGGUGACCUCGGAGUAAAACCAAACCUCCGAAUGAUAUUAACCUAGACUCACAAGUCAAAGUAAUCAUCAUAAAUUGACCCAGAAAAAUUCUGAUCAACGAACCAAGUUACCCUAGGGAUAACAGCGCAAUCCUAUUAUAGAGUCCAUAUCGACAAUAGGGUUUACGACCUCGAUGUUGGAUCAGGACCCCCAAAUGGUGCAACCGCUAUUAAAGGUUCGUUUGUUCRACGAUUAAAGUCCU
rnacentral:rRNA from 1 species